rnacentral:tRNA from 1 species
CGGGACGUGGCGCAGCCUGGUUAGCGCGCCUGGUUUGGGUCCAGGAGGCCAGAGGUUCGAAUCCUCUCGUCCCGACCA